rnacentral:rRNA from 1 species
GAUGAACGCUAGCGGCAGGCUUAAUACAUGCAAGUCGAGGGACAGCACAGGUAGCAAUACUGGGUGGUAACCGGCAAACGGGUGCGGAACACGUACACAGCCUUCCUUUAAGUGGGGGAUAGCCCAGAGAAAUUUGGAUUAAUACCCCGUAAUAUUGUUGAAUGGCAUCAUUUGAUUAUUAUAGCUACGGCGCUUAAUGAUGGGUGUGCGGCUGAUUAGAUAGUUGGCGGGGUAACGGCCCACCAAGUCUACGAUCAGUAGCUGAUGUGAGAGCAUGAUCAGCCACACGGGCACUGAGACACGGGCCCGACUCCUACGGGAGGCAGCAGUAAGGAAUAUUGGUCAAUGGACGCAAGUCUGAACCAGCCAUGCCGCGUGAAGGAUUAAGGUCCUCUGGAUUGUAAACUUCUUUUAUUUGGGACGAAAAAGGGCCUUUCUAGGUCAACUGACGGUACCAGAUGAAUAAGCACCGGCUAACUCCGUGCCAGCCGCCGCAGUAAGAC